UGGCGAACGGGUGAGUAACACGUGGGUGAUCUGCCCUGCACUCUGGGAUAAGCCUGGGAAACUGGGUCUAAUACCGGAUAGGACCAUGCUUUAGUGUGUGUGGUGGAAAGUUUUUCGGUGUAGGAUGAGCCCGCGGCCUAUCAGCUUGUUGGUGGGGUAAUGGCCUACCAAGGCGGCGACGGGUAGCCGGACUGAGAGGUUGGUCGUCCACAUUGGGACUGAGAUACGGCCCAG
rnacentral:rRNA from 1 species